AGGGAAUCUUCGGCAAUGGACGGAAGUCUGACCGAGCAACGCCGCGUGAGUGAAGAAGGUUUUCGGAUCGUAAAGCUCUGUUGUAAGAGAAGAACGAGUGUGAGAGUGGAAAGUUCACACUGUGACGGUAUCUUACCAGAAAGGGACGGCUAACUACGUGCCAGCAGCCGCAGUAAUACGUAGGUCCCGAGCGUUGUCCGGAUUUAUUGGGCGUAAAGCGAGCGCAGGCGGUUAGAUAAGUCUGAAGUUAAAGGCUGUGGCUUAACCAUAGUACGCUUUGGAAACUGUUUAACUUGAGUGCAAGAGGGGAGAGUGGAAUUCCAUGUGUAGCGGUGAAAUGCGUAGAUAUAUGGAGGAACACCGGUGGCGAAAGCGGCUCUCUGGCUUGUAACUGACGCUGAGGCUCGAAAGCGUGGGGAGCAAACAGGAUUAGAUACCCUGGUAGUCCACGCCGUAAACGAUGAGUGCUAGGUGUUAGACCCUUUCCGGGGUUUAGUGCCGUAGCUAACGCAUUAAGCACUCCGCCUGGGGAGUACGACCGCAAGGUUG
rnacentral:rRNA from 1 species